UUUGAAAUAUUUUAAUUUUGACUGAGAUUUUCAACAUUUGAGAUGCCUAUUUAGUUUUAUAGAUAUAUUUUUUCGUGAGAAAUUUCUCCCAAUCUGAAAUUUCGAAAACAUUUGUAUUAUAUAAACAAAAGACAUUUAACUCCCGGCUAUGAUAAUCAUCGUUGACCAAAAAAACUAUGAUAACCAUCUUCUAUCUUGCACUUCACGGCCAGGUUAGUUACUACACCAGUCGCACCCAAUGCUCUGGAGAGUUGUAAUAUUAAAUAUAGUUAAUGCGUCAUUGCCUGCAUGAUGUUUAUUUAAUAUACACUUAGGACUGCAUCCGUACUAAAACACAAGUCACUUAACCACUAAAAAUUUUACACAUGUCAAAGUUUUAUAAUUUUUUUUGAAAAAUCUAACUAUUGAAAAUUUAUGUUUUCAUCUCUUAUUUUUCUGCGACUC
rnacentral:lncRNA from 1 species